GCGUGCGUGCGUGGGCGGUGCGCGGCGCGCGGGCCGUCCUCUCGCACACGCAGCCUUGGAGGCGGGUGUCUGACCCUUGGUCUACCGCUUGCUGAGGCCCCUUGCCCCUCGGGUCAGAGGCGCUUUUGUGCUCCGGUUCUUAGCCUUCUCUCGGUGCCCCGGCGACAGAAAGAUGACACAGAGACAUAGAGAGGGAAAGGCCCUGAGACAUGGAGAAGUCGACACCCAGUUACCACCAAGAAGUGAAGUCCCAGACACAUGUACCUGGAGAACCCAUCCCAGCUGAGGGACCAGUCAUUGAGGUAAGAAGCCACCUAGGUUGUCCCAGCCAUCUGAGCUGUUCCUCAUUACCUGGAACAGAGGUGGUUUUUGCUGCAGUGUCCUACAGGGGCUGUGUAGAAUGAGGUGGGGAUGGAAGACAUGGCCCUACCCUCUGGCAAGAACCCAGUCAGAUGGAGGUGGCUUACACGAAGCUAUGCCCUGGCUUCAGGAAGCACUGCUCUCCCUACUCCCCCAGGCCAGAAAUGGAACCAGACUUUCCCUUCUUUCUUCACAGCAAAACUGAGGCCAGGCUGUGAAGUUUCACAUAAUUUUACGAAUACUCAGAGGUAAGAGAAAAUGGUUUGCGUCCACAGGGCAGCAAUAUGGCUGCCCUAGAACCUUGCUACAGCAAAUGUUUUCCUCUUUAAUCUACUCCCUUCUCUGGUUCUCUUUCCUUAGCCAUGUUUUGCUCAAAUGAUCUUGCCUUAAAAAAAACGAAAUCUGGGACGCCUGAGUGGCUCAGUCGGUUAAGCGUCCGACCUCCACUCAGGUCAUGAUCUAGCAGUUCGUGAGUUCGAGCUCCAGGUCAGGCUCUGUGCUGACAGCUCAGAGCCUGGAGCCUGCUUCAGAUUCUUUGUCUCCCUUUCUCUGCCCCUGCCCCGCUCACACUCUGUCUCUCUCUAUCUCAAAAAUGAAUAAACGCUAAAAAAAUUUUUUUUAAUAAAAAACAAACAAAAUCUUACCUUGACUAUGCAGGGAAAUACUGCAAUCUUCUUUCUCCUUUACUGUUGUCAAAGAGUCUCCUGCACUUUAUACUUUUGCAUGGUGGAAUUAAAGAUGGCUACAAAUUGUUUUGCACUCCUUCCAUGGAAAGAUGGGGACUAAUUCCCCCAACUCCUUGAAUCUGGGCUGGUCUUAGUGUUUGUUGCACCAAUAGACUGUGGUGGAAGUGAAAUACUGAAACUUCUGAGUCAAGGUCCAAGAAGUUUUGCUGCUUCUUUCUGAGUGCCUUCGAACACUUGCUCUGAGGAAAUCCAGCUGCCAUAAAAGAAGCCCAGCUAAUCUGAUACUGCUAUAUUGCAAGGAAGCAGCCGCAGCCAUUCCGGACCCUAGCCAUUCGGUUCUUCCCAGUUAAGACCCCAGACACUAAUGAAGCAGAGGGGGUGCCACCUCUGCUAACCCACCCAAACCGCGGAUACAUGAACAAAGUAAAUAAAUGUACUUCUCUAAGCCACUAAGUUUGGGGAUGGUUUGUUUUAGGACUGCAAUAAAUUCCCAAAAUACUCUAACUUCCUGCCUCCAAAGAUAAGAAUAAGUCUUUAAGGUAAACUUGAUUAACAAUGGCUGUAUAAUUGUAUAUACAUAUAGGAUGCACAAUGAGUCAUUUAUAUAUAAUACACAGAGGGUUCUGAUCGUUGGGUCAUUCUUCCUGAAAAGGGUCAUUGCAGCUCCAGAAGCAUGUCUGCUGGACUCCUUACACCUUACCACCAACACUCUAUGACUGUUCUAUCUGAAAUCCCACACCAUCUUUUUCUCCACUAGUCCUUUCAAGGUGGCCACUUCCAGGACCUAGAA